GCCAAAAAAAUAAAAAUAAAAAAUCGCUACAGUGACCCGAAAUUCCAAUUCCAUGAUUUCAAGGAAAAUGCUGACGUGGAAUGAAAGAUGGAAUUUCAAUUCUAGAAAAAAUUUUGGACAAUCAAACAACCAAAAGUUGAAAAAUGAAUUUUCCAUGGAAAAAUGGAGCACCGCCUUAGUUUACUUUAAUUAACUUGUUUGGCAGAACAUUGCACGGAUCCCGCGGAAAGAAUUUUUGGACACUAAAUUCGCACCGUUUGGUAGACCCGAAGAUAAUCUCACAUCAAUACUCUGGGGUCCAAAUUUCCUAUCAUCCGCACUAUAUCAACUCUCCCCACCUGAGGAUGUUGCAUUAGCAAUAUCAUUAGUGAGGCCGGCAUCUCUCUUUAUGCAAGAUUUGUCAAAUAGGAGCCCAUUUUCCAAUGAAAGGUUUGGAUCCGUAAAGCGUGCUUACAUCAUAACUGGCAAAGAUAAAGCCAUAUCACCAGAGUUUCAACGCCGAGAAAUUAAAAAUACUGGAGUGACAAUCGUGAAAGAGAUAGAAGAUGCUGACCACAUGGCCAUGAUUUCAAAGCCCCAUGCACUUUGCCAAUAUUUAUUGGAUAUAACAAAAUAAAUAUAUUUAAAAAAUUAUUUUCUUUACUUGUUCAGAUGUAAUGUACUCUUAUGAUACUCGUGGGGAGUGAUUAAAUACAACUUUUGAAUUUUUGCUUCA